rnacentral:lncRNA from 1 species
GGAGCUUCCUAGAGCCAAAUCUCCGAGGAAUAUACAUUACAUUUUCUGGUAUUUUUCCCUAUGAGAAGUUUCUGUUAAGUGCAGGGGAUGCAUAUUGGAAAGAAAUGGAAAAGUUGGAGGAGCUUCAGAGGUGGCACAUCAUCGCUGAAGAAUCUUUCAUAACUGUCAGAUCCUGCCAUGAGAUUGGAGCAUUAUUAAAGUUACCUCGAGCAAGCUGCACUAAUUGGAAAUAUUUCUUGUUUUCCUGUUCCCUUGGUACUUUAUCUCCUGUCUUAUUAACAACGCUUCCUAAAGCUCUGUAUUCCCAGUAACUGUCAUCUUAAUGAUGUGAAAAUCAAUAGCAAAUGUUGUCAUUUUAAAAACUAUUAUUGGACUGCCAAGCAUGGAGAACUACAGGAAGGCAUGGUGACCUUGUAAAGUUUCUGAUUCCAGUAAAGAAAGAGGCAUCUGGAGUGGAAUCCUUUGUAACUAUUUUCCCUCUUUUCAUUAUAAAGAUAAUUGUUAUAAGAUCAGGAAGAGGUGUGGUCUUGAGAACUCAAGGAUUUCAUUGCAUUUCUUUACAAAUCACUGCAUUGGUAUUUA